rnacentral:piRNA from 1 species
UGGAUGCACAAUACAUCCUUGAGAAGUUAAU